rnacentral:lncRNA from 1 species
AGGAAUUGUGCUUAAUUAUUCGGUAUUUUCCCGUUUUCGCUAAUAGUGCUUAAUUUCACCGGAAAUUCUAAUUUUAAUUAAUUUGAAUUUUCUGAGCUAAUUAUUUGCAUUAUUAUUUGCAGGAAAAAUUUUGGAGAAACAAUUUGGAGCAUUGGGAAUGAGACAAAAUUAAAUUUCAAGACUCUUCAAUUAGACAUUUUAAAUUUUAAUUGUAUUGUAAUUUUAAUUGUUAGAACUUUUUAGACAAACUCUUUCCUUCAUGGGCCAUAGUGGCAAUUUUGUAGGAGUCCAAAUUGUAGGACACUUGUCACCCUAGAGUUUUAUAUUUUUAGGGUGGACCCCACUUUUUUUGGAUGACACUCACGGCCUCGGAAAAAGAGAGGGGGGCUGUCAUUUUGAUUUGGCAGAGGAGGCUGGGAGAAAACGUUUUGCCUUUUUUUUUUCAUUGAAAACCAUGGUUAUGCACUUUGAUUUUGGAUGAAUAUUUUUGCAUUGAGCAUUCUAUCUUUCUCUCGGUCCAGUGCUGCCACGACAACAUUGAUUGCAUUGUUCUUUUUAAUUUUGAAAGUUUCAUUCCAGCAAAGGGUGGCACGGUGAUUGGAGGACUUUUCAUUGAAUGAAAUUUACAGCAGCCAAAACCUUUUCUUUUACUUAGCUUUCUUUAAUCUUGCUUGGAAGGCAAUGUAAACAUCAGGUGCAACACAUAGUUACGGUCCUGAACAAAGGAAAUCAUUUGAUGGGAGUUGGUGGGUUUGGUCUCAUCCUGGCACACCAGUAGUAGAAANUGCAAUAGGUUUCUCUUAAAAUUUAUAUUCAGCUUGUACUUUGUAGUUUCUUGGUUGUUGUGCNUUUUUAUCAUUAACUCUAGUUCCAUUUCAUACGUCUUUUCUUUCUUCAGUAGCAUUUAAUUGCUUAGCCACCCAUCACAAUGAUUUUAUGCUUUUCAUUUGCAAUUAAAAAAAAAAAUAAAAACAACUUUCAUUGAGGUAGUAACUCACGGUCUUGGCUCAUGUGCACGAGGUGUCACCACGUUCAUUUGGUUUCAA